rnacentral:lncRNA from 1 species
CAGGGUCUUGACUAAUGCCCUGGGUGGUGAUUGCCAUGUGAAGCGGACAAACUUGCAGGCAUGGCAACCAGCACCACUAGAACAUUCUCACAAGCGAGUCCAGGCCUGGCUUGGAGUGGGGUCAGGCUGGUUGAAGAGCAUGCCCAACUACAGGGAUCCUCUCCCCGGGGCCACUGAGCAAAGGCCAGCCACCUCCCUGCCCCCUGACCAGGCCUGCCCUGCCCUCUACUAUACCUCCAGGAGAUGUCGUCUGGACUUGGGAACCUGGCAUGAGCAUGAAACUGGAAAUUAACAAGGAAUGAUGCAGAUGAACACCUGCAGCAAGAACCACUCUACACCUGUCCACAAGCAUCAGUCAGAGCAAGGAGGGCUCUUGGAGAUCCCCAGACAGAGAGUCCCUGCAGCAGCCAUGCUUUU